CCACCCCCGCGUGCGGCCUUGGCGCCGCCGCCCUGUUCCUAGGAGCGCGGGAGGACGAAUGAGGAGAACUCAAUGUAAAGUCAGGUGGAGAUAAGGACAAGAUGGUGCCACCUAGAGCAACGGUUUUCAAAGUGGGGAAAACUGCUGGCACUUCGCCGUGAAUCAGGACACGGAGGCACCCAGUCAUCAGAGCGGUGAUUUUAUUGACCACCACGUGCCCUCUUUGGCUUUUAAGAAAAAGUAUGAAGGAAUCUGUGUGAAGCUGGAUCUCCUUCAUACACCUCAACCGAAAGAGCCCACAGCAACAGACCGAACGCAGAAGCACGUGUGAGAACCAGAUAUUUCCACCAAGUCAAGCCAGCAAGAGAGGGAACACAAGCAGGGGAGUGCGAGAGGAAGCAGCAGGCUCCCAGCCAAGGAGCGGGAUGUGGGGCUCUAUCCCAGAACGGAAGGAGCAGGGUGGGGGAGCAGCAG